rnacentral:lncRNA from 1 species
CUCACGUUUAAGGGCUCAGCUCCACAAGACUACCCCCUUCACAUGCCAGCAGCAAAUAUGGGGCCCAAGUUACCCACAUUUCUGCCCAGCUGACUACAAAUUCUGGUUUCCAUGACCCCCUCUCAGGUGACCAGUCCGCAUCCUGAUACUAUCUCGGAGUCCCCCAGCCAAGAAUCAUCUCAUCAGCAUAAACUCAGGCAAUGUUGAAAGGCAUUCAGAAUGGUACUGGCCAUGUAACAUCCUCAGGAAAAUGGAGAAAGGAGUCACAUCAUCUUCUGUGUUUGGAGACUGCUAUGUAAGCCAGAAUACUAGUCACACAGUGCAGGCACAGAAAAUGUGGGGCCAGCCAGUUCACACAGCAGGAAGAUGAGCAGCACUG